rnacentral:lncRNA from 1 species
UGAGGAAUUUAUGGCGAAGUUCUGGAUUGGGCACAGGCGUAAACUAACUCUGGCUGAUGAAUCGAACUCUCGUGACCUAGCAGACCUUCCAGAAAUAGAAUGAGUAUCGAGGAUCACCCAAAAAAGAAAUACAGGAAAUUGGACGGCUGAUAAGAAGUGGACAGCGAGGGAUCACCAUUGGAUUGAUUGUGCUGAUCCUGAGCAUCCUCCUCCAUUUCUGGGCGAGGCCCUGUCAGAUUGGAUCACUGGUUCUGCAAAUUUUCAGUUUUUCUUUUAUUUUUACCAGUGAUGGAGGUUGAGAAAAAAAAAUGGCGGUGAGAUACUCGUCUGAUGAGAUGAAGCAGGAGAAGCGAAAAAAAAGAGACUUACUCGGCUUUCUCGGGGCGGGAGAUCAGGAACUACUGGGAUGGUUUUCUUUACAGGGGGAGAGGCCGAGGCCGAGGCCGAGACCGAGCUGGGGAUGGGAAGAGAGGAGAGGAGGCAAGAGCACACAUUAGCGACCUCUUUUUAUUGGUCUGUCGUUCCAGAAGAUUCCUCUCAUUCUU